GCGAACGCUGGCGGCGUACCUAACACAUGCAAGUCGAACGGGGAUCGUCGGUGUGGCAACACAUUGGCGGUUCUAGUGGCGCCGGGUGAGUAGACACGUGGGUAACCUGCCCUCGAGACUGGGAUACCCCCUCGAAAGGGGGGCUAAUACCGGAUACGUUCCUUGGGUCGACAGAUCCGGGGAGGAAAGGGGCGCAAGCUGCCGCUCUUGGAGGGGCUCGCGGCCUAUCAGCUAGUUGGUGGGGUAAUGGCCCCCACCAAGGCUAUGACGGGUAGCUGGUCUGAGAGGACGACAGCCACACGGGGACUGAGACACGGCCCCCGACUCCUACGGGAGGCAGCAGUGGGGAAUUUUCCGCAAUGGGCGAAAGCCUGACGGAGUGACGCCGCGUGUGGGACGAAGGCCUUCGGGUCGUAAACCACUGUCAGUGGGAAAGAUGGGUGUCGGCGCGAUAACCGCCGGCACUUGACGGUACCUGCAGAGGAAGCCCCGGCUAACUCUGUGCCAGCAGCCGCGGUAAGACAGAGGAGGCAAGCGUUGCUCGGAAUUACAGGGCGUAAAGGCGCGUAGGCGGAGUCGCCGCCAAGUCGGGUGUGAACCCUCGGGCUCAACUGAGAGCCGUCGGAUCGCCGAUACUGGGUGCUUGAGGCCUGACAGAGGAGGACGUGGAAUUCCCUGGUGUAGGGCUGAUGAAAUGCGUAGAGAUCAGGAGGAACACCGGUGGCGAAGGCGGGCUCCUGGGCAGGAUUCCUGACGCUGAGGCGCGGAAAGCGUGGGGAGCAACGGGAUUAGAUACCCCGGUAGUCCAGCGCCUGUAAACGAUGGCACGACUAGGUGUAGGGGGUAGUCAGUCCCUUCGUGCCGCAGCGCUAACGCAUUAAGUCGUCCCGCCUGGGGAAGUACGGCCGCAAGGUUGAAACUCAAAGGAAUUGACGGGGGCCCGCAAUAGCGGUGGAGCAUGGGGAUUAAUUCGUCACUAACCGAAGAACCUUACCCAGGCUUGACAUCCGUGGAAAGUCCGUGAAAAGCGGUACCCCGGCCUCGAAGAGGUCGCCACGAGACAGGUGUUGCAUGGCUGUCGUCAGCUCGUGUCGUGAGAUGUUGGGUUAAGUCCCGCAACGAGCGCAACCCUCACGCGAUGUUGCCAGCGUCAAGUCGGGCACUCUUCGCGAACUGCCCGGGUAACCGGGAGGAAGGUGGGAUGACGUCAAGUCGGCAUGGCCCUUACGCCUGGGGCUUCACCAUGCUACAAUGGGCCGGACAGAGGGAUGCAAGACCGCGAGGUAGGAGCCGAUCCCACAAACCGGCUCUCAGUUCGGAUUGCAGGCUGCAACUCGCCUGCAUGAAGUCGGAAUCGCUAGUAACCGCCGGUCAGCUAAACGGCGGUGAAUACGUUCCCGGGCCUUGUACACACAGCCCGUCACGUCACCUGAGUCUGCUGCACCCGAAGUCACUGGCCAACCGCAAGGAGGGAGGUGCCGAAGGUGUGGCCGGUAAGGGGGACG
rnacentral:rRNA from 1 species